ensembl:snRNA U6 U6 spliceosomal RNA
GUGCUCAUUCACUGUAUAUAUACUAAAACUGGAAAGAUAGAGAGAAGACCAGCAUGGCCCCUGCCCAAGGAUUUGAAGCAAAUUCGUGAAGCAUUCCAUAUUUAU